rnacentral:rRNA from 1 species
UGGGGAAUAUUGCACAAUUGGCGCAAGCCUGAUGCAGCAACGUCGCGUGAACGAUGAAGGUCUUCGGAUCGUAAAGUUCUGUUGCAGGGGAAGAUAAUGACGGUACCCUGUGAGGCAGCCCCGGCUAACUACGUGCCAGCAGCCGCGGUAAUACGUAGGGGGCUAGCGUUAUCCGGAUUUACUGGGCGUAAAGGGUGCGUAGGUGGUCUUUCAAGUCGGUGGUUAAAGGCUACGGCUCAACCGUAGUUAGCCUCCGAAACUGGAAGACUUGAGUGCAGGAGAGGAAGGUGGAAUUCCCAGUGUAGCGGUGAAAUGCGUAGAUAUUGGGAGGAACACCAGUAGCGAAGGCGGCUUUCUGGACUGCAACUGACACUGAGGCACGAAAGCGUGGGUAGCAAACAGG